rnacentral:snRNA from 1 species
GUGCAGCACAUAUGCUAAAACUGGAACAAUACAAAAAAGAUUAGGUUGCCCCUGCACAAGGGUGACACACAAAUCUGUAAAGUGUUAACAUACAUA